ACAUUAAUUAAGAUUGAUUUAUGCUAUAAUAAUACUUCCUGGCAUAAAAACGGAAAGUGAAGAUAUGUGCAUCUAAUUGUGUUGUUUUUAUUAUUAUUUUUUCUUUCUUCUCCCCACACUUUAACGAUAAGAGUUAACUAAUUAAUCAUAAUGACAGUAAUUUACUUACUUACUGAACUCUUAACGGGAAUGAUUAAAUUCUGGUAUUUAAUAUCAUUUUAUAUAUUCACCGACGAGGUGUGGUUGAGAAACGUAUUAACGCGAAUUUAAUCGAAUGUAAAGGUACGAAACUUUAAAAAAUGCGAUUAAAUAUACAGUAAUGACGUGAACGGAUGUUAUAAAAACCUACGUAUUGUAUAAACGUAGAGUGAUCGGAUAAUGAGCCUCACGAAUUUUUUUUUAGUCUUUCCGUAUUGGAGAGAAAUUCCGGAUUUUGGGUCGUAUUAGUGUUUCUGGUAUUUUUUAUUGGAGAAAGUUAGUAAAAGUCGAAAAUUAUCUAUUAGUAAUAGUAAGGUGAGACAUUCCAUUAGUCGGUAGUUCUGGAUUUGUAACAUCUGUUGUGGACAGGCGACCUCCUGCCCGCCCAUCCGUCACGUUGGCUCGAAGGUGUGACUCUUCUUUUAUUUUUUAUUUUUCCUGCCUAUCCGGAAUUGGACCACUCCCUGAUACGCUUUAUGGAUUUCACCCAUUAAAAAAAAAAAAUGCGGAACAAAAUUACAAUUUCAAAUUAUGCUAACUUUGAUACGAGGAAAAAAAAAAAAAAAAAAUGCUUAAUUACCCUUUUGAGUAAUAAUACACGCAUCAUUUUCGCUGGCAGAUCCUUUAAUCUUCGCACUUUAGACAGUCUUAAUCCGUAUUUUUCGGGUUUAAUCUUUUAUAAUUUUAUUGAUGCAAAAUUUAAUUUUUGUGAAUUUUCUUUCCUGAUAUAUAUAUACUGUAAUUAGUUUGAAAUGCUGGUAACUGUAAUCUAGAAUGCGGAUGUUACGCCAUUCGAGUGCAGUAAAAGUAAAUUAUUGUUCAGAGUGCAUAAAAAUUACUGUUAAACUCAUUUUCUAUUUUUCUUUCGUCGAUAAUUAAAAAUAAGUAAAUUAUUUGAUGUUGCUUUCCUUUUAAAUUCGUUUAUAAUUGUUUUUUUUCGUUUUACUAAUUUUUAACGUGAU
rnacentral:lncRNA from 1 species